GUUUCCGUAGUGUAGUGGUCAUCACGUUUGCCUACAUGCAAAAGGUCCCCAGUUCAAAACUGGGCGGAAACA
rnacentral:tRNA from 1 species